AAUUGGAGGGCAAGUCUGGUGCCAGCAGCCGCGGUAAUUCCAGCUCCAAUAGCGUAUAUUAAAGUUGUUGCAGUUAAAAAGCUCGUAGUUGAAUUUCGGGGUCAGUAGAUUGGUCAUGCCUCCGGUAUGUACUGGUCUUACUGGCUCCUCCUUCCUGAUGAACCGUAAUGCCAUUAAUUUGGUGUUGCGGGGAGACUGGACUGUUACUUUGAAAAAAUUAGAGUGUUUAAAGCAGGCUAACGCUUGAAUACAUUAGCAUGGAAUAAUGAAAUAGGACGUUCGAUCUUAUUUUGUUGGUUUCUAAGAUUGACGUAAUGAUUAAUAGGGAUAGUUGGGGGCAUUAGUAUUCAAUUGUCAGAGGUGAAAUUCUUGGAUUUAUUGAAGACUAACUACUGCGAAAGCAUUUGCCAAGGAUGUUUUCAUUAAUCAAGAACGAAAGUUAGGGGAUCGAAGACGAUCAGAUACCGUCGUAGUCUUAACCAUAAACUAUGCCGACUAGGGAUCGGAUGAUGUUAAUUUUUUAAUGACUCAUUCGGCGCCUUACGGGAAACCAAAGUGU
rnacentral:rRNA from 1 species